GGGCGGCAGGCACCACCUGGCUGCCCCGCACCAACACCCCGUCCACGUCGAAGAGGAACCCGAAGGCCGGCGGCUGCAAGGUACCCCAAAGACAGAUGGUGACUGAGUUCAGAGCAACUGGCUCACAACCAACCCCCAGCAAAGCAAAGCCCUGAACAGAGUUCCCUGCUUCCAGAGAAGCAAGAAAAUGGGAAAGUUGGACCAGAAUGGUCUUGCUGUCUACACAACGCUAUCAUGAAGCACUUGCAGGCUCACAACUCCUUUUCCUCACCUGCUGUCAAACUCGCUCACAUUGUGCAGCUGUUUCCGGUGUUCAAAACCCACUUCUGGGAGAUGACAGGAAAAACAAAACACAGCAUUUGUGCCAGCCAGUACCUGAGGAGAAGACGGGGCUAGCAGCCACCAGCACCCUUCCCGGACUCUUUUCUAGGACCAAGACAAAGGCAUUUCAAGGCAGGGAUAUAGGAGGGACAGCAGUGUUACACGUUCAAAGAUUUUGUUUUAAACUCUGCAUCCAACCUCUGCUCUGGUGAAGCCCUACUGCAAUACAAGAAAUCAGGAUUUAUAAAACACAACGAGUGCUGUGCUGCAAGCACUGAGACACAGUCAGGUGGCAGCUUAUUGGAAGGGACCGUCUCCAUUUGCAUGCGGAAAGAAGAUCCAACAACUGCAUGUAUUCUGUGGACAUCUUAAUGUAUCCAGCCCUGCCAGCUUGCCUCCUCUCAGCACCAGCCCAGCCCAGCGUGCAUCACAGAUCGCCGUGCUGGCGUAAAGUUGUAAUUGCCAGCACGGGGGCUGGGGCCAAGGGGAAUUCACGGAGAGAGUCAGACUCUCGGGCAGCCUAUCAGCUCCUAGGUCCACCAUGGAAAUUAAUCACUGAAGCUCAAGGAAGGACACCUCAAACAAAAACCCCAGUGACUACACUGAGGAGACAGGGCAUGCUCAGCCUGUUGAAAUGACAUUGUAAUUAAAACUUAAUAAAAAGUGGCACAUAUCGAUGAGUUGUAUUAACCUUGUCUAAAACCAUUUGGGCAAAUUAAAACUCCUCUCGGUCUUUUCCUGCUGCGUUAAAAGCAGCAAGGCAUGACAC